AAAACAAAACGGCUGGAUUGACGCCUAACAUGUCAAAUGUCAAUGUGGCAAAAAUUGUGGAGAAAAGGUGACCAACAGAAGGAUGAAGACAAAGAGGUUGUGGAAGAGAUUGAAGGGGAGGAGACAUGUAACCCUUACACCGAAUUGUAUUUCCUCCAGCACCAUUCAGAUAUAGUGCGCCAUCUGUUGGUAAUUGAUGAUAGAAGAUGUGUAUCAGCUGGUGAUGAUGGGGUGGUGGUUGUAUGGGACACACAGCUCUGUAUGAAGCUGUCAUUUUUUGAAGCUCAUUCUAGACCAAUCACAUGUAUGCUAUCCAUCGAUGGGAAGAACAAAGAUUCCAAUUUGCUGAUUACAGGGUCAUCAGAUAAACAUAUCAAGUAAUUGACUGCAAACAUUUGGUAUGCAGGUUUGGAACAUUGACCAAGGCAAGUGUGUUCAAGAUAUCACUGAACAUGGAACUUCUGUGAAGUGCCUGCUUCCUGUCUUGGAGAACAUGUUUGUAUCAGCAGGAGAACAGCUUCAUCUAUGGGGAGAGGAUGGGGCCCUUUUGGACACAUUCCCUUUGGAUAAGCAGGAAGCUGACAUUUCAUUGUUGAUUUCUACAAACCUCAAGAAUGAGAGAUUUGUAACAGCAUGUGACAAAGAACUCACUGUGUAUUCCAUCAAAGACCUACUAGAUUUGAAUGAAACAAGCUACAGGAUUUGUCAGGAUAAGAGACUGCCCGAGCACCUAGAGGCCGUCAGAGCGCUCGUACCUGUCUCAGAUAAGUUGUUUGCCAGUGGUUCACUUGAUGGCACAAUAUUGCUCUGGUCAUCAGAAACAUUCACACCCUUGAAGAAGCUUAACACAAUGGCCGACUACAAGGGCAAAGCAAACAUGUACCCAUACAGUGUGCAGUAUAUAGCUUGUGAAAACCAGAAAUAUCUGCUGGCAGCCAUUGGUUGUGGUUUUGCUCUGUUUGACACUGUGUCCAACACUCUCCUCUGUCGGAAGGUGAAAGCUCACUACUCCAAGGUCACCCAGCUGACCUUUGUCUGUGAUGGUCUGUUGCUGGCAACAUGUUCAGAAGAUGGCAGUAUACGAUUGUGGGGUCAAAAGUCCCACAACCCGGGUGAACAGUUGGCUGUGAAGGCUUCUAUGGGUCUCAGUCCGAUAGAGAGAUUUCUGGACAUCAAUUUUGGUCAGUUGCACCAUAGUAAAAGUCCGGACCAUUUUCCGGAGCCAGUUCUGCUAGGGGAGUGUCUUGGGCACUGUGGCUCAGUCAUGAGAAUAGUUGACCAAGGCCUGGAGGGAAUGUUCUCUUGUGGAGGAGACCAUCUGGUCAUAGCAUGGAAGAACAGUGAGUUGCAGAAAAUGAAAAGAAACCAAGUUAUACAAGAAAAAGUUUUAAAUCCAAGUGUUAUUGUUUAAGGCAUUCCAAAUAUUUUAUCAUUUGUUUAUUCAUUCUGUGAUUUUUUCAUACAUACAUGUACAUAUAUAGGUUUAUAUUCCUGUAUAAUUAGCAGUAAAUCACUACUGGUAUUUGUUUUAUGGAUAUAUAUGGGUCAUUAAAAUGUCAAAAAUGUUAAUCAUACAGCAAAUACCCAAAACAAUUUUUAAUAGGUGCUGUUGUUGUGCAAUAUUUAUAUGUUUGUAAAAACUUAAGAAUUAAUAAAUGUGUGAUAACAAAGAGGGUGUUUUAUACUCCUUAUAACCAGGAUGUAGGGAGAAAUUGUAAUUUGUUGUAUUUGAUGUUGAAUGUUGUAUCAAGAUUUUCCAAUAAAGAUACCGUAUUACCAGGCUGGGAGAGGCUUCAGGUACAUGGAAUUACUGUUUAUCCAUGUUAAUAACUAUUUUAUUGUUUGUAAGGUCUCAUAUGAUUAGUCAUUAAGUUUUACAAGAGAUUUAAGCUUACUAGAUAGAUUCCUCAAAGGGAAAAUCACUAAUGCGGGUUAUGUAUUUUUCUGUAAAGCCAGGCUGCUACCUUCAUACGGUAAUUGCAUGAAUCCACAAAGAAAGCAUUUUAUUGUUUAAAUGGUUACAACUCAUUCUGAGCCUAGUGUCAUAAGAUGCUGUAAAAUUAAAUUGUUUGCCUGGCAUGAUAUCAUUCAUAUUACACAGUCAUGCAAUUUAGUAAGGUUCUGUGCAUGAACAUACAUAGAAAUAAAAGAGCGACAUGUUUUCAAACAAAUAUAUAGAUUUAUUAAUUGUUGGAAACACUUUGGCACUUAAACAUAAAUUAUAUAUGAAAACUUUUGAAUUAAAAAAAAUAUUAUUUAAGUAUGUUGAAGUGAUGGUCUAGUUCUUGCUUCUCUCUGCUGACCCACUGCACCAGCUAAACAAUUUCAGCAAUCGUUUCUUCCACGAUUUUCUUUCUUUUCGUGGUUUCUGUAUAGCAAAGUAAAGGAAACAAUAUUUAUAAACUU
rnacentral:misc_RNA from 1 species